GACGAACGCUGGCGGCGUGCCUAAUACAUGCAAGUCGAACGAGAGCGACCGGUGCUUGCACUGGUCAAUCUAGUGGCGAACGGGUGAGUAACACGUGGGUAACCUGCCCAUCAGAGGGGGAUAACAUCCGGAAACGGAUGCUAAAACCGCAUAGGUCUUCGAACCGCAUGGUUUGAAGAGGAAAAGAGGCGCACGCUUCUGCUGAUGGAUGGACCCGCGGUGCAUUAGCUAGUUGGUGAGGUAACGGCUCACCAAGGCCGUGAUGCAUAGCCGACCUGAGAGGGUGAUCGGCCACAUUGGGACUGAGACACGGCCCAAACUCCUACGGGAGGCAGCAGUAGGGAAUCUUCCGCAAUGGACGCAAGUCUGACGGAGCAACGCCGCGUGAGUGAAGAAGGUUUUCGGAUCGUAAAACUCUGUUGUUAGAGAAGAACAAGUGCUAGAGUAACUGUUAGCGCCUUGACGGUAUCUAACCAGAAAGCCACGGCUAACUACGUG
rnacentral:rRNA from 1 species